rnacentral:rRNA from 1 species
CGUUCUGUAAGCCUGCGAAGGUGUGUUGAGAAGCAUGCUGGAGGUAUCAGAAGUGCGAAUGCUGACAUGAGUAACGACAAUGCGGGUGAAAAACCCGCACGCCGGAAGACCAAGGGUUCCUGCGCAACGCUAAUCGGCGCAGGGUGAGUCGGCCCCUAAGACGAGGGUGAAAGCCGUAGUCGAUGGGAAUCAGGUUAAUAUUCCUGAACCUGGUGGUAGUGACGGACGCCGGAAGUAGUCUCCUCUUACUGGAUUGAGGGGGCUGCCUGGGCGUUCCAGGAAAUAGCUCCACCGUUAAGACCGUACCCGAAACCGACACAGGUGGACUGGUAGAGAAUACCGAGGCGCUUGAGGGAACUAUGUUGAAGGAACUCGGCAAAAUGCCUCCGUAACUUCGGGAUAAGGAGGACCUCGCAUCGGGCAACCGGUGAGGGGUGGCACAGAGUAGGGGGUGGCGACUGUUUACUAAAAACACAGGGCUCUGCGAAGUCUUCCAGACGACGUAUAGGGUCUGACGCCUGCCCGGUGCCGGAAGGUUAAGAGGAGAGGUGAGAGCUUUGAAUCGAAGCCCCGGUAAACGGCGGCCGUAACAAUAACGGUCCUAAGGUAGCGAAAUUCCUUGUCGGGUAAGUUCCGACCUGCACGAAUGGCGUAACGACUUCCCCGCUGUCUCCAACAUAGGCUCAGCGAAAUUGAAUUCUCCGUGAAGAUGCGGAGUACCCGCGGUCAGACGGAAAGACCCCGUGCACCUUUACUACAGCUUUGCAGUGGCAUCAGAAGAUGAAUGUGUAGGAUAGGCGGGAGGCUUUGAAGCAUCGGCGCCAGUUGAUGUGGAGCCAUCCUUGAAAUACCGC